GAUGAACGCUGGCGGCGUGCCUAAUACAUGCAAGUCGAGCGAAUGGAUUAAGAGCUUGCUCUUAUGAAGUUAGCGGCGGACGGGUGAGUAACACGUGGGUAACCUGCCCAUAAGACUGGGAUAACUCCGGGAAACCGGGGCUAAUACCGGAUAACAUUUUGAACCGCACGGUUCGAAAUUGAAAGGCGGCUUAGGCUGUCCCUUAUGGAUGGACCCGCGUCGCAUUAGCUAGUUGGUGAGGUAACGGCUCACCAAGGCAACGAUGCGUAGCCGACCUGAGAGGGUGAUCGGCCACACUGGGACUGAGACACGGCCGAGACUCCUACGGGAGGCAGCAGUAGGGAAUCUUCCGCAAUGGACGAAAGUCGGACGGAGCAACGCCGCGUGAGUGAUGAAGGCUUUCGGGUCGUAAAACUCUGUUGUUAGGGAAGAACAAGUGCUAGUUGAAUAAGCUGGCACCUUGACGGUACCUAACCAGAAAGCCACGGCUAACUACGUGCCAGCCGCCGCGGUAA
rnacentral:rRNA from 1 species